CCGUAAGGAGGAGUGGUGGAAAGCGGCGAACGGGUGAGUAUCACGUGGAUAACGUGCCCUGGACUCUGGGAUAACAGUGGGAAACCGCUGCUAAUACCGGAUGACACCUACCUGUCGCAUGAUAGGUAGGUCAAAGCUCCGGCGGUCUGGGAUCGGUCCGCGGUGUAUCAGCUUGUUGGUGGGGUAACGGCCUACCAAGGCUUUGACGCAUAGCUGGCGUGAGAGCGCGACCAGCCACACUGGGACUGAGACACGGCCUAGACUCCUACGGGAGGCAGCAGUAGGGAAUCUUGCGCAAUGGGCGAAAGUCUGACGCAGCGACGCCGCGUGAGGGAUGAAGG
rnacentral:rRNA from 1 species